ensembl:lncRNA
CACAUUUGUGAGGUGUAAAUGUGUGAAUGUAUGUUUAUCACUCUUCUACAGGGAUGUCACAUGCUAACGUGUGUGUGUGUGUGUGUGUGUGUGUGUGUGUGUGUGUGUGUGUGUGUGUGUGUGGGUGUGCGUGUGCGUGUGCGUGCGCGUGUGUGUGUGUGAGCCGUUUGAAUCGAUCCCUCAGCAGAAAGAGGCAGAAAGUCAAUGCGGUCGAUGGUAAACGACACAGACGAUUAAACGCGUCGAUGCUAACGGGGAUGAAAAUGACUAAUCAGAGUAACAAGUGUUUUAUGUGUGCUAAAUGCUAACAUUAGCAUGCUAACUGCAGGUAGGCCCAUAAUGUUUACACAUGCUAAUUUGUGCUGCGCGAUUUACAACUGAGGUUGACGGGAAUCGUUGUAUUUCUUCAGGUGUUGUCAUAGAAACGCGUUAAAUCAGCGCUAACCGAAUACGCGCUGCAGGAUAACAGGAAUUAGUUUUUUCAUUUGUUCCUUCAAACAAGUUACAGGAUACAAUCUGUCAUUUGUUUAAAGGAAGUUUGCAGGAACCAACAAAUCUGCAAUCGGCAGAAAAUGUCUUAUGUGUUCUGUGUCUGUAUUCUUUACAUCGGUCAGGCAGCAGUGGUUCCUAAAGUCAGUGCUCUCUUAUAAUUAGAAUAAUACCCAGUGGCGACUGGUCCAUAUUAUGGGAAAAAAACGUAUUUUUACUGUAUUUUUACUUUUUACUUUACUGUUUGUGUAUUUAUGUUAUUGAAACGU